CCCGACUGCUAUUUGGGUGAGGAUAAGCCAUGCGAGUUGAAUGGGAUACCCAAAGUUCCCAUGGCAAACUGCUCAGUAACACAUGAUCAACUUACCCUAUAAAGAAAAAUAACCUCGGGAAACUGAGGAUAAUGUUUCAUAGUUGAAUUGGCUUGGAAAAGUUUUUCAGCGAAAGGGGUAAAAAGAAUGGUUUUUAUCUGCUAUAGGAUAGGAUCGUGUUCGAUUAUGGUUGUUGGUGAGGUAAUGGCUCACCAAGCCGAUAAUCGGUAGGGGCCGUGAGAGCGGGAGCCCCGAGAUGGGUACUGAGACAACGACCCAGGCCUUACGAGGCGCAGCAGGCGCGAAACCUCCGCAAUACACGAAAGUGUGACGGGGUUACCCAAAGUGUUCAAUUUUGAACUGUGGUAGGUGAGUAAUGUUCCCUACUAGAAAGGAGAGGGCAAGGCUGGUGCCAGCCGCCGCGGUAAAACCAGCUCUUCAAGUGGUCGGGAUAAUUAUUGGGCUUAAAGUGUCCGUAGCCGGUUUAGUAAGUUCCUGGUAAAAGCGGGUAGCUUAACUAUCUAUAUGCUAGGAAUACUACUAUACUAGAGGGCGGGAGAGGUGUGAGGUACUACAGGGGUAGGGGUGAAAUCUUAUAAUCCUUGUUGGACCACCAGUGGCGAAGGCGUCAGACUGGAACGCGCCUGACGGUGAGGGACGAAAGCCAGGGGAGCGAACCGGAUUAGAUACCCGGGUAGUCCUGGCCGUAAA
rnacentral:rRNA from 1 species